CCUACGGGUGGCAGCAGUGGGGAAUAUUGCGCAAUGGGCGAAAGCCUGACGCAGCGACGCCGCGUGAGGGAUGAAGGUCCUCGGAUCGUAAACCUCUGUCAGCAGGGAAGAACGGUCACUGUGCUAAUCAGCAGUGAAUUGACGGUACCUGCAAAGGAAGCACCGGCUAACUCCGUGCCAGCAGCCGCGGUAAUACGGAGGGUGCGAGCGUUAAUCGGAAUUACUGGGCGUAAAGCGCUCGUAGGCGGUAUGUCAAGUCAAGGGUGAAAUCCCCGCGCUCAACGUGGGAACUGCAUUUGAGACUGGCAGACUGGAGUGUGUGAGAGGAUAGUGGAAUUCCAGGUGUAGGAGUGAAAUCCGUAGAUAUCUGGAGGAACAUCAGUGGCGAAGGCGACUAUCUGGCACAUAACUGACGCUGAGGAGCGAAAGCGUGGGUAGCAAACAGGAUUAGAUACCCUAGUAGUC
rnacentral:rRNA from 1 species